CCUACGGGAGGCAGCAGUAGGGAAUAUUGCACAAUGGGGGAAACCCUGAAGCAGCAACGCCGCGUGGAGGAUGAAGGUUUUCGGAUUGUAAACUCCUUUUGUUAGAGAAGAUAAUGACGGUAUCUAACGAAUAAGCACCGGCUAACUCCGUGCCAGCAGCCGCGGUAAUACGGAGGGUGCAAGCGUUACCCGGAAUCACUGGGCGUAAAGAGCGCGUAGGCGGGAUAGCAAGUCAGAUGUGAAAUCCUAUGGCUUAACCAUAGAACUGCAUUUGAAACUGUUAUUCUAGAGUGUGGGAGAGGUAGGUGGAAUUCUUGGUGUAGGGGUAAAAUCCGUAGAGAUCAAGAGGAAUACUCAUUGCGAAGGCGACCUGCUAGAACGUAACUGACGCUGAUGCGCGAAAGCGUGGGGAGCAAACAGGAUUAGAUACCCCGGUAGUC
rnacentral:rRNA from 1 species